UUUCAGUGAGUCCCAUAUCCUUUGCUUUACCUAGUCAAGCGUCUAGUGUUGCUGACUUAGCUACAGAUUGACUGCAACCAACCAGCAAUACAUGCUUAUGCGGCAUAAUUCAUUUAUCUAAAACACAAAAUACUGUCACCCUACCUGGUGUCAGAGGGGAAUGAGUGGCGUGUGGGCAGGCAGUGCUGGCGUGACCGGGCCCUGCAGCUGCCUCUGGUGACAGGGACAUGGGAGACUCUCCCCCAGCUUGCGGCUCACUCAGGCUCAGCACCACAGACUCCUCCUCCCCAGCGCCCCCACACACACUCCUCCUCGUCCCGGAGCCCGUGCCCGCGCUCCUGCUCACGCUCACGCUCCGCACCCCAGCGCCCAGCAGGACCCCACUCCAGGACCAGCAGCAGAGACCGCAUCGGGUCCCGUGCCUGUGGUAGGAGCUGGGCUGUGAACCCUGUCUGAUCUCUGAUGAGGAUGUCUGAGACUGUCGCUGCCAAGGAGCGGCCCGAGGCGAUGAAGGUUCCGGAGGCCACCGAGAGUGACGCCAUAGCGGCCGACACCACCAGCAGCAGCAGCAGCAGCAGCAGCAGCAGCACCGGAACCGGCCCACAGCCGGCCCAGACUCAACCCCCCACACACCCUGUCAGCCAGAGCCAGAGCCCGCCCCCAAGCGCAGCCAGCAGCGAGCCCGACCAAUCGGACGAGUGCUGCCAUGACGACAAGACCGAGGUACAGCCUGCUUCCCAAACCGCUGGUCCACCUGUGAGAAGGUCUAAGUCGAAUACAAAGUUAAAGUUAGUUCGGAGCCUGGCUGUGUGCGAAGAGUCUUCUUCUCCUCCACCUCCCCCUAUACCCGAGCUGCCACAAGAGCACCAGGAUGCGAUCCACAUCCAGCUGUCCCAGUCCUUCGAGACGGAGGAGCCGCCGGUCAGAGAGGAGGAUGAGGAGGAGGAGGAGGAGAAGGAGAGGAGCGCAGAAAAGACGGAGAAAUCCGAGAAGAUGCCAAGGAAGAUGCUGUCUAGAGAUUCCAGCCAAGAGUACACGGAUUCCACAGGCAUCGAUCUCCACGAGUUCUUAGUAAACACGUUGAAAAACAAUCCCCGGGAUAGGAUGAUGCUGUUGAAACUGGAGCAAGACAUUCUGGACUUCAUAAGCAAUAAUGAAAGCCAGAAGAGAAAGUUCCCCCCCAUGACAUCUUACCACAGGAUGUUGUUACACCGAGUCGCCGCCUACUUCGGCCUCGACCACAACGUCGAUCAAACGGGGAAAUCGGUCAUCAUCAACAAAACUAGCAAUACAAGAAUACCGGAUCAAAAGUUUUCCGAACAUAUCAAAGACGACAAGACGGACGACUUCCAGAAGCGCUACAUCCUGAAGCGAGAUAACUCCAGCCUGGACCGAGACGACGGCUCGAUGCGAAUGCGCCUGAAAGACGACCGGCGGAGCAAGUCCAUCGAGGAGAGAGAGGAGGAAUACCAACGGGCGCGGGAUCGAAUAUUUGCACCCGACGGCCAAGAUCAUUUUCAACUAGAAAAGAGGAUCCAGGAGGACGAGACGGGCAUGAGCACCCACCAACGGAGGCAGAUAUUCAGGUUGAGGGACGGGCGCUCGGCCAACAGUCGUCAGAGCAGCUCUGAGAACGAGCCGAAGUACGGGGAGCCUCGGCCGUGGAGCAGCACCGACUCGGACAGCUCGCACCGCAACCUCAAGCCGGCCAUGACCAAGGCCAGCAGCUUCAGCGGGAUCAGCGGCAUCUCCGGCAUCUCCGUGCUCAUCCGCGGGGACAGCUCCGGCAGCAGCAAGAGCACCGGCCGCCUCUCCAAGACAGGCCAGCCCUUUGUCAACCCUGACGGAAGUCCCGUGGUGUACAACCCAAGCAUGACCUCACAGGUGCGGGCACAGCAAGCCCUGCCCCUCCCCCCGCCCCCGCCUCCUCCCCCGCCUGUGCCACACCAGCAAGCCAAUCACGUGCUCGCCCAGCCAGUGCGAUCUCUCCAGCCCUCAGCGCAGCCUGUCCAGUACUCCACCAUCUCUUUCCAGCCUCAGCUCCUGCCUGUCUCCCCUAACCAACAAUACACUGUGCCGCAGGAGGGCCUGAGCGGCCAGUUUAGCCACCUGACCAUGGUGCAGCGGCAGCACUCGAGCGACGCCCCCGACCCCCACACUGCCAUGUACCCCUCGCCCGUGGUGGUGCAGGGCCCCCAGCAGGGCGGCUACGUGGUGGGGCCUCCGCCCGGUCAGCCCGGCCCGCCGCACACAGCCUACCCGCCCAAUCACGCGCCGCCGCCCGGCAGCCAGCAGGUCAUGCAACAGCAGAGCUACAUGCCACAGCCCAUGCAGCAGAUGACUGCGUGCUACUGUGCUCCAGGGCAGUACCCACACUCCAGCCAACAGCACUACCGGCCCGUCACACCCCUACACUACAGCAGCCCCCAGAACCAGCCCCCUCAACAGACAGGUUAUCAGACUGUGAUGCCAAAUCAAGCUCCUGGCUACCAGAAUGUGGUGGGAGUGCAACAACCUCAGAGUCAAAGCCUGGUGAGCAACCAGCACGGCAAUAUGGGCAAUCACAUGCAAGGCAUGAUGGUCCAGUACCCUCCAAUGCCAUCCUAUCAGCAGGUAUCAAUGCCCCAAGGAUCUCAGAGCAUGCCUCAACAGACAUAUCAGCAGCCAAUCCUGAUCCCCAACCAGGCAGGCCAGGGCCCCAUGCAGUCAUCAGGCAUGCAGGUCUACUACAGUGUGCUCCCUCCCAACCAGCACACCACGAUGAGCUCCACAGUGGGUUUCCUGUCCCCGCCGGGCUCGGAGCAGAUGCCGUUCCCCAGGGCCAACUCCCCCUGCAGCUCUCAGCCAAUCCCGACGCAGCCCUGCUCAGGUGUGCACGUGCCCUCUCAAGGUGGGGGGGUUGUGAUGAUGCAGCUGACGGUGCCCCCCUCCCACCAGACGCGCGCUCUCUCCCCCCAGCAGUGGAAGCACAACAAGUACUACAGCCUGGACCACCAGCGCAUGGACCACCAGCGCAGCCUCAAGGCCCCCGACCCCACGCCCCUGGACACCUCGCAGAACAGCCCCCAGCUGGGCAGUCCCUCCGGCUCCCCCGCGCCCCCCUCCCCCACCCCUGCCCACCUGGCCAACAUGAAGAACGUCCGUCCUGGCCUUGCCUCCCUUCCCAUCAUGCCUCACUUCUCCCGACCCUUCGUCCCUGGCCAAGGCGACACGCGGUACCCCCUCCUGGGGCAGCCCCUACAGUACAACCCCCCCAUCCGGCCCCCGCUGCUCCAUGGUACCCAUAUGGUUGCCAACCACCACCAUCACCACCACCAGGGCCCUGUGGGUAUCCGUCAGGGCGGGCGGGGCCGGCGGCCGACGCGGAAGGCUCUCUCCACAGAUCUGAGUGUCGGUGAAGCUGCAGGGAACGGCGUGGGGGGGGGCUGGGGCCCCCAGGGGCCCGCUUCAGCUCAACCCCCAGCCCAGCGCUCCUCACUCCCAGCCCCUCCAGCCAGCUACUACUACUACUGCAACCCUCGCUCCUGAGGCACCGCCGCCGCUCCCAUGCAUUACUGCAGCAGAUUUACAAGUGUGUGGUGAGCGGGCGUGUUCUGGAGGUGACGGACCUGCUGGAUGGGCUGAGCCGUGGCGUGGCGGACUCUCUGCUGGGCGAACUUGAGUCAGGCUGGAGCCGCCCUAAGAUGGCUGCCGACGCAGCACCACCCCCCCCCCCCCCC